rnacentral:rRNA from 1 species
UACAGAGGGUGCAAGCGUUGUUCGGAAUUACUGGGCGUAAAGCGUACGCAGGCGGCUUUGCAAGACAGGUGUGAAAUCCCCGGGCCUAACCUGGGAACUGCAUUUGUGACUGCAUGGCUAGAGUUUGUCAGAGGGGGGUGGAAUUCCACGGUGUGAGCAGUGAAAUGCGUAGAUAUGUGGAGGAACACCGAUGGCGAAGGCAGCCCCCUGGGAUGUGACUGACGCUCAUGUACGAAAGCGUGGGGAGCAAACAGG